GAUGAACGCUGGCGGCGUGCCUAACACAUGCAAGUCGAGCGAACAGACGAGGAUCUUGCUCCUCCGACGCAAGCGGCGGACGGGUGAGUCACACGUAGAUAACCUACCUAUAAGACUGAAAUAGCGGCGAGACAGCGGAGCACCUACCGUGUACUCUAUUCAUCGGCUUGGUUCAAUAAUGAAAGACGGUUUUCCGUACACUUAUAGACGGGUCCGCGCCCCAUUAGCUUGUUGGGUAGGUAACGGCUUACCAAGGCAGCGAUGCGUAGCCGGCCUGAGAGGAUGAUCGGCCACACUGGAACUGAGACACGGCCCAGACUCCUACGGGAGGCAGCAGUGGGGAAUCUUCCGCAAUGCGCGAAAGCGUGACGGAGCAACGCCGCGUGAGUGAAGAAGGUCUUCGGAUUGUAAAACUCUGUUAGGAGGGAAGAAGAAAUGGGGAAGAAUCGAUGCACGUAUUGACGGUACCUAAACAGAAAGCCCCGGCUAACUACGUG
rnacentral:rRNA from 1 species